AACGAACGCUGGCGGCAUGCCUAACACAUGCAAGUCGAACGAUGCCUUCGGGCAUAGUGGCGCACGGGUGCGUAACGCGUGGGAAUCUGCCUUUCGGUUCGGAAUAACUCAGGGAAACUUGAGCUAAUACCGGAUAACGUCGCAAGACCAAAGAUUUAUCACCGAAAGAUGAGCCCGCGUAGGAUUAGCUAGUUGGUGAGGUAAAGGCUCACCAAGGCGACGAUCCUUAGCCGGUCUGGGAGGAUGAUCAGCCACACUGGGACUGAGACACGGCCCAGACUCCUACGGGAGGCAGCAAGGGGGAAUAUUGGACAAUGGGCGAAAGCCUGAUCCAGCAAUGCCGCGUGAGUGAUGAAGGCCUUAGGGUUGUAAAGCUCUUUUACCCGGGAAGAUAAUGACGGUACCGGGAGAAUAAGCCCCGGCUAACUCCGUG
rnacentral:rRNA from 1 species